CCUACGGGUGGCAGCAGUGAGGAAUAUUGGUCAAUGGACGAGAGUCUGAACCAGCCAAGUAGCGUGAAGGAUGACUGCCCUAUGGGUUGUAAACUUCUUUUAUAGGGGAAUAAAAUGUUCCACGUGUGGGAUGUUGUAUGUACCAUAUGAAUAAGGAUCGGAUAACUCCGUGCCAGCAGCCGCGGUCAUACGGAGGAUCCGAUCGUUAUCCGGAUUUAUUGGGUUUAAAGGGAGCGUAGGGGGAUUGUUCAGUCAGUUGUGAAAGUUUGCGGCUCAACCGUAAAAUUGCAGUUGCAACUGGCAGUCUUGAGUCCAGUAGAGGUGGGCGUAAUUCGUGGUGUAGCGG
rnacentral:rRNA from 1 species